AAUCUGUGAUGUGGACAAUCACGUUCAUACUCCUUAAAUCACUCCCAGGCUUCAUAAAAAGACUCGACCGGAUCUUGUUGGAAACUUUGGAUUUUGUUUCUCAACAGGUU